rnacentral:rRNA from 1 species
UCGAGGAUCUUCGGCAAUGGGCGCAAGCCUGACCGAGCGACGCCGCGUGUGCGACGAAGGCCUUCGGGUUGUAAAGCACUGUCGAGGGGAAGAAAAGCCGCAAGGCCUGAUCGACCCCUGGAGGAAGCACGGGCUAAGUUCGUGCCAGCAGCCGCGGUAAGACGAACCGUGCGAACGUUGUUCGGAUUCACUGGGCUUAAAGGGCGCGUAGGCGGACCGCCAAGUCAGGGGUGAAAGCCCCCGGCCCAACCGGGGAAGUGCCUUUGAGACUGGCGGUCUCGAGCGGGAUAGGGGCAGCUGGAACUUCCGGUGGAGUGGUGAAAUGCGUAGAUAUCGGAAGGAACGCCGGUGGCGAAAGCGAGCUGCUGGAUCCCUCCUGACGCUGAGGCGCGAAAGCCAGGGGAGCGAACGG